UUUUAUUAAUGUUUAGUAAAGUUAAAUGCGCAUCAAUGGUCUACAAACUUAGAAAUGAAUAUCUGUAGUGUUAUAUGUUAAUUGUUUAUUUGAAUCUAUUGUACAUUAUAUGUACGUUUAACAAGGCAAUAUUAAAUCAUGUUAUUAUGUAAUAUUAAAUUAUCGUAAAUAUAUUCUAGUAAAAUUUAUACUUCUAUCCUUAUUAUAUAUGAUAAUUUUUAUAUAUGAUUUUUGCGUUACAUAAUAUAUUUACCGACGGAGACAUUCUGGUUCCUGCAUUUAACCGCAGUGGCGCUCGUAGUCCUAGUAAAAUCGACUACGUAUCUUAAAAUCGAAAAUAACUUUAUUUCGAGUGGUUUUAAUUAUUGCAAAAAAAAAAUUAUAAUAAUAAUGAGUUUAAUUAAUGGAUUAAGAUCUUACGUUAAGAUGACGUUCGUUUGUAUCACGAAAAAUUAUGGACUACUGACUCGCGUAGUGAUUCCAUCGUCGCCAUUUUUUGUUAAUUACGAUUAAUUUCUUCGCGUUCUUUUUUUUUAUUUUUUUUUUUUUUUUGGACAAAUUGAAACUGCUUUUUAAUUUUAAAAGCGAACGAUUGUGCAAAUGAUUGUGUCGAAUUGUGUACUGGCGUACGAAAAACAAACAAAAGCAUCCAAUUGAAUUUGAUUCAAUGGCGCAUUCAUUCCCCUUUUGUGUUACCGACGAAUGAAAAGGCAACUUGUAUAGGAGGCGUACAUCGGUCCUGAGUAAACCUACGCUAGAUAACAUGUGUUUCAAGAUUAACAAACUUAAAGUCACUGGAGAUGGAGCUCAGGAAGAAAAGAAAGACGAAGGAAAAGAAGAAAAUGUCUUUACCUUUGCGCCCCUAGAAACUUCGAGGAUCGAAGGAAAAACUGUUAGCUACUCUCUCACUAUGUGGGGUCUUUAGAUUCCUGUUAUCGGUUAGAAUGAGUAAGAGGGAGAAAGAAAGAAAGAGAGAGGGAAAAAGAAAGAGAGAGAGAGAGAGAGAGAGAGAGAGAGAGAGAGAGAGAGAGAGAGAGAGAGAGAGAGAGAGA